CGAACGGGUGAGUAACGCGUAUCCAACCUGCCGUCUACUCUUGGACAGCCUUCUGAAAGGAAGAUUAAUACAAGAUGGCAUCAUGAGUCCGCAUGUUCACAUGAUUAAAGGUAUUCCGGUAGACGAUGGGGAUGCGUUCCAUUAGAUAGUAGGCGGGGUAACGGCCCACCUAGUCUUCGAUGGAUAGGGGUUCUGAGAGGAAGGUCCCCCACAUUGGAACUGAGACACGGUCCAA
rnacentral:rRNA from 1 species